UACAGAGGUCUCAACCGUUGUUCGGAUUCAUUGGGCGUAAAGGGUGCGUAGGCGGUCACGUAAGUCGGAUGUGAAAGCCCUGGGCUCAACCCAGGAAGUGCACUCGAUACUGCGUGGCUUGAGUACUGGAGAGGUUGGUGGAAUUCUCGGUGUAGAGGUGAAAUUCGUAGAUAUCGAGAGGAACACCGGUGGCGAAGGCGGCCAACUGGACAGAUACUGACGCUGAAACACGAAAGCGUGGGGAGCAAACAGG
rnacentral:rRNA from 1 species